rnacentral:rRNA from 1 species
CCUACGGGCGGCAGCAGUGGGGAAUAUUGCACAAUGGGCGGAACCCUGAUGCAGCGACGCCGCGUGGGUGAGGAAGUACUUCGGGAUUUAACGCCCUAUCAUCAGGGAAGAAAAUGACGGUACCUGACUAAGAAGCCCCGGCUAUCUACGUGACAGCAGCCGCGGUAAUACGGAGGGGGCACGCGUUAUCCGGAUUUACUGGGUGUAAAGGGAGCGUAGCCGGGUUGCCAAGUCUGAUGUGAAAGGCCUGGGCUAACCCCCGGGACUGCAUUGGAAACUGGCAUGCUGGAGUGCCGGAGAGGUAGGCGGAAUGCGUGGUGUAGCGGUGAAAUGCGUAGAUAUCAGGAGGAACACCGGUGGCGAAGGCGGCUUACUGAACGGCGACUGACGUUGAGGCUCGAAAGCGUGGGGAGCAAACAGGAUUAGAUACCCCUGUAGUC